rnacentral:misc_RNA from 1 species
CACGUGUAUCGAUAAAGUUCAACUACACUACAGAAUGACUUGACUAUGUUGACUGAAUUCAUCUGAACUUAUUCGAUUGCAGAAACCUACUGGACAUCUUGGAGAUUUGUAAACUGUUUCUCAAAAGGUCAGAGGUCACCACUGUCAUCAGCAGUAGUGUACUAUAAAUAGCAACAUGGAUCCAGAUGGGGAUUCCGAUGGUGGCUUUGAGGAUGCGGCUGCUGAGGAUAUGGCCGAGGUGGUUGAUUUGAACGAGGCAGAUGGAGAGUAUGUGAUUGAUGACAUGGGUGAUAUGGAUUCAGAAGGCUUUGACGGAGACGGAGAUGAGGAAGGGGAUGAUGAAAAUGAAGACGAGGCUGAGGGGAUGGAUGCUCCAGCGGAGGAUGAGUUGGAGGACGACGCUGACUUUGUCUACGACAAACACACAGCCUCUGUAUUCUGCUGCGAUUUGGAACCCACCAAGGGCGCCCUCGCCGUUACGGGGAGCGAGGACGAUAAAGCGUACGUCUGGAAAAUCGGGGAUGGGCAACCAGUGCUGGAGUGCUCAGGUCACAAAGACUCGGUUGCAUGUGUCGGCUUCAGUCACGACGGUUCCCUCGUGGUGUCGGGUGACAUGAGCGGCCUGAUUAAAGUCUGGAAGGUGGACACACAGGAAGAAAUCUGGUCAUUUGAGUGCUCGGACUUGGAGUGGCUGACGUGGCACCACAGCUCACAUGUUCUCUUCGGGGGGACGUCGGAGGGUCAGAUUUGGAUGUGGAAGGUACCUAGCGGGGAUUGUAAGACCUUGCAAGGGCACGGCUGCCAAACGACAUGCGGCAAGAUAUUUGCAGAUGGCAAGAGAUGCUGUGCCGGAUAUGAAGAUGGAACGGUGAAAAUAUGGGAUUUGAAGGAGACAACGGCACUUCACACAUUCAAAGGUAACACUGGGCACAGUAGUGGUGUGACAUCCCUUGAUUGCCAUAGCAACAAUAUUGUGGUUCUCACUGGUUCUGUUGAUGGAACGGCAAAAGUCUUGAACAGCAACAAUGCUAAGGUUUUAGCCACUUUCUCAGCCGGAAAUGUAAAACCAGAGAUUGGUGACAGCAACUCAGUGGAGGCUGUUGGAUUGUGUCAAAGUCAAUCCCUGGCUGCCGUUGGAUCACUGAAUGGCAUAUUAGGAGUUUGGGACAUACCUACACAGAAACGGAGACAUUGCUGCCAGUUAGAGGCUGGCAUAGUGCGGCUGAGGUGGGACCCCUCGGGUACCCCUACGAUCUUCACAGCGGGGCUAGACGGCAGGGUCUGUCUGUGGGAUGCAAGGUCAGGAGAAUCGGUGGCGUCGUGGACUGGCCACAGAGGGGAGAUUCUGGAUAUGGCUAUCAGCAAUGACGGAAACACCAUAGUAACUGCAUCUGGAGACACGUCAUGUAGGGUAUUCUCACUGCAGCGUCCGGAGAGGUAGAUCCUGGCAAAGAGUCAUCAAACUGGAUUCCCUUCGAGAAAGACACCGACAGAGACGUCCUCGUUAUAUCCUGCAAAAGGCAGAAGAAUCCUUUAUAACAGGACAGCCAAAACUUUGAGCCAAAGGGAUAAACAUGAGAAUCAAUCAUGUUUGAAAUCUUAAAAUGGCCAUUUAUUUUACACAAUUUUAAGGCCUUUUACCCCCUUUUUAAUAAGCGCAUUAAUUUCCCUGUCUUUGCUUGUAUGUACACCCUAUUUUGCCUUUUUAUUAAGGAAGAGGGCAGUGUUUACCUGAACUACGCUUCCUUUGGGGUUUUUACUGUCUUCCUUUUAUUUAUGGACAGUGUUAUAAUUUUGUGAUGGCUGUUGAAUUUUUGCGUAAGCAUGAAAUAAAUUCUGUCUGGUGAUUGGAUCAGAACAUAUCACAUGAUCUGCAUUACAUGGGUUUGGUAGACUGGAACCAAAAAAAAAUCUAUGAAUUAUCUACUGCGUGUCGCCAUGUGCUUAUUUCCAUCCAUGUACAUGAUAUUUGUAUUUCCAACUUGAUGCUUAAAAGACCUCAAAAUAAAGAUAUGACAUUGAGUUACCGAUUCAUAAUGACAUGAAGUAAUGCAAAUGCUGUACAUGCAAAUAUUGACUUAUUUGUUGACUCAGAUAUGUACAAAAUAUGUGAGGUGCUUACAAUAAAAAUAUGUUUAAGUCACCACAACAGGUCUAAACUUUCCCCAAACAAUUAAAAAAGACACAACAAAAACCUAGCUAUGAGCAUCCUUUUCCCCAGUGUUUGUUUGUUUGUUUGGUUUUUUUUUUUUACACAAGGCAUAUCUUGGCCUUAACAGCUAGAAACAUUAUUAAUAGAGACUGCUGAUGGCUUGUCGCCCAGAUAGCGAUUCACUUCCCUCUUGAAGCUGGCCAGAUUCCUGUUAGUGGGUAUGUGGGCAGAAGAGAGUUCCAUAUUCGGGCCGAAGAUGGUAAAAAGGACCUUUGAUGGCUGACUCGGUUUAUCAGAAUGUCGACAUGUACUGAUUUAUUAAAGAGGAAAUAUGAAUUUCAAAGAAAGAAGGCUUA